rnacentral:tRNA from 1 species
GAAUAUGAAGCGAUUGAUUGCAGUUAGUUUCGACCUAACCUUAGGUAAUUUUACCCUU